rnacentral:rRNA from 1 species
UACGAGGGGGGCAAGCGUUGUUCGGAAUUAUUGGGCGUAAAGGGUGCGUAGGCGGUCUGACAAGUCUGAUGUGAAAUCUAUGGGCUCAACCCAUAGUCUGCAUCGGAAACUGUCGGGCUUGAGUAUGGGAGAGGUGAGUGGAAUUUCCGGUGUAGAGGUGAAAUUCGUAGAUAUUCGCAAGAACACCAGUGGCGAAGGCGGCUCACUGGCCCGAUACUGACGCUGAGGUGCGAAAGCGUGGGGAGCAAACAGG